CGUGUUACAUUAACAAUUAACAAACAUGUCUUUCUACUAGCUUUAUAUCGUUGCUUAAUUAAGAAAGCGAUCAAAAAAUGGUAAUAAGGUUCAAUCUGCACACCUCGCAACUCAAGAAAGACCAUUUGUACUACUCAAACCAGGGAGACUUUUUACAAGAUGAUCAAAAGAAUGGAAAUAUCAACACAACAAUAGAUCUAUGAUGAAAGAAAUUCAUUUCCAGAUGCUUUCAUUGUGCGAGAGCACCGAAAACUCUUCCUAUUUGGACGAAGAUCAGAAUGCAUCAGCACUGUUGAGUCUGUUAUGGAGGAUAAAUAGUCAGAAUUAACUGUUUCACAUCACCCCAUCGUCUGGUCUACUUUCUUAGGUGAAAGUGACCUUGGAAAAGAACUUACAUGCUUGUUAGGAUUGCAUAUGAUAAUCCAGAGUGUAGGCAUGGAUUUCAGAAGGGCUUGUACCAGGC
rnacentral:lncRNA from 1 species